rnacentral:rRNA from 1 species
ACCCCUGGCGGGGAGUGAAAAGAACCUGAAACCGUGUGCUUACAAACAGUUAGAGCCCAUCAAUGGGUGAUAGCGUGCCUUUUGUAGAAUGAGCCGGCGAGUUACGUUAAUUUGCAAGGUUAAGCUUUUAGGAGUGGAGCCGUAGCGAAAGCAAGUCUUAAUAGGGCGAAUAAGUAGAUUGACGUAUACCCGAAACCGGGUGAUCUAGCCAUGAGCAGGUUGAAGCUUGGGUAAAACCAGGUGGAGGACCGAACCAGGGUCUGUUGAAAAAGACUUGGAUGACUUGUGGCUAGGGGUGAAAUUCCAAUCGAACCCGGAGAUAGCUGGUUCUCCCCGAAAUAGCUUUAGGGCUAGCGUUGUGAGAAGAGUUAUACGAAGGUAGAGCACUGAAUGGGUGAGGGCCGCACCUCGCGGUACCAAUCUCAAUCAAACUCCGAAUGUCGUAUAAUAUGCGCAGCAGUAAGACUAUGGGUGAUAAGGUCCAUGGUCAAAAGGGAAACAGCCCAGACCGCCAGUUAAGGUCCCAAAAUUAUGCUAAGUGGGAAAGGAGGUGGAGUCGCUUAAACAACUAGGAGGUUGGCUCAGAAGCAGCCAUCCUUUAAAGAGUGCGUAAUAGCUCACUAGUCGAGUGAUUCUGCGCCGAAAAUGUAUCGGGGCUAAGCAUAAUACCGAAGCUGCGGGAUUAGAUGAAGAAUCUAAUCGGUAGGGGAGCGUACUAAGUGCGUAGAAGGUUGACCGGAAGGGCAGCUGGAGCGCUUAGCAGUGAGUAUGCCGGUGUGAGUAGCGAUAAGAUGGGUGAGAAUCCCAUCCGUCGAAAGCCUAAGGUUUCCAGGGGUAAGGCUCGUCCUCCCUGGGUAAGUCGGGUCCUAAGGUGAGGCUGAGAAGCGUAGCUGAUGGACAUCAGGUUGAUAUUCCUGAACCACCAUAAAACUGAAGGAAUGACGGAGGAGGCUAAUCAGAGCUGAUUAAUGGAUUUCAGUUUAAGUACAAAGAGGGUUACGUAGGCAAAUCCGCGUAGCAAAACCUUGAAGUAUGAUGACGUAAGUCUGGUGAAGCCACACUUCCAAGAAAAGUUUCUAGGUGUAUUUUAUGGUGCCCGUACCGUAAACGGACACACGUAGGCGAGGAGAGAAUCCAAAGACGCGCGAGAUAAUUCUUGUUAAGGAACUCUGCAAAAUUACUCUGUAACUUCGGAAUAAAGAGGGCUCCCGUGAGGGAGACGCAGAAAAUAGGCCCAAGCGACUGUUUAACAAAAACAUAGGUUUCUGCUAAAGCGUAAGCUGAUGUAUAGGAGCUGACGCCUGCCCAGUGCUGGAAGGUUAAGAGGAGAAGUUAGUCGCAAGGCGAAGGUUUGAAUUGAAGCCCCAGUAAACGGCGGCCGUAACUAUAACGGUCCUAAGGUAGCGAAAUUCCUUGUCAGGUAAGUUCUGACCCGCACGAAAGGCGUAACGAUUUGGGCGCUGUCUCAACAAGAAACUCGGUGAAAUCAUAGUACCUGUGAAGAUGCAGGUUACCCGCGAUCAGACGGAAAGACCCCAUGGAGCUUCACUGCAACUUAAUAUUGAUAUUGGGUGUGUGAUGUACAGGAUAGGUGGGAGACAAAGAAGCGAGUACGCUAGUAUUCGUGGAGUCAACCUUGGGAUACCACCCCUCGCACAUUUAGUAUCUAACUAGUUUCCAUAAGCUGGGAAUAGAACAGUGUUAGGUGGGCAGUUUGACUGGGGCGGUCGCCUCCCAAAGAGUAACGGAGGCGCCCAAAGGUUCCCUCAGAAUGGUUGGAAAUCAUUCAUAGAGUGUAAAGGCAGAAGGGAGCUUGACUGCGAGACGGACAGGUCGAGCAGGAACGAAAGUUGGGCUUAGUGAACCGGCUGUGCUGAAUGGAAAGGCAGUCGAUCAACGG